GACGAACGCUGGCGGCGUGCUUAACACAUGCAAGUCGAACGGAAAGGCCCUGCUUUUGUGGGGUGCUCGAGUGGCGAACGGGUGAGUAACACGUGAGUAACCUGCCCUUGACUUUGGGAUAACUUCAGGAAACUGGGGCUAAUACCGGAUAGGAGCUCCUGCUGCAUGGUGGGGGUUGGAAAGUUUCGGCGGUUGGGGAUGGACUCGCGACUUAUCAGCUUGUUGGUGGGGUAGUGGCUUACCAAGGCUUUGACGGGUGGCCGGCCUGAGAGGGUGACCGGCCACAUUGGGACUGAGAUACGGCCCAGACUCCUACGGGAGGCAGCAGUGGGGAAUAUUGCACAAUGGGCGGAAGCCUGAUGCAGCAACGCCGCGUGCGGGAUGACGGCCUUCGGGUUGUAAACCGCUUUCGCCUGUGACGAAGCGUGAGUGACGGUAAUGGGUAAAGAAGCACCGGCUAACUACGUG
rnacentral:rRNA from 1 species